rnacentral:rRNA from 1 species
AUACGGAGGGUGCAAGCGUUAUUCGGAAUCACUGGGCGUAAAGGACGCGUAGGCGGGUUGGCAAGUCAGAUGUGAAAUCCUACAGCUUAACUGUAGAACUGCAUUUGAAACUGCUAACCUAGAGUAUGGGAGGGGGAGAUGGAAUUAGUGGUGUAGGGGUAAAAUCCGUAGAUAUCACUAGGAAUACCGAAAGCGAAGGCGAUCUCUUGGAACAUAACUGACGCUAAGGCGUGAAAGCGUGGGGAGCAAACAGGAUUAGAAACCCCAGUAGUCC